rnacentral:rRNA from 1 species
GACGAACGCUGGCGGCGUGCUUAACACAUGCAAGUCGAGCGGUAAGGCCCUUUCGGGGGUACACGAGCGGCGAACGGGUGAGUAACACGUGGGUGACCUGCCUUUAGCUCUGGGAUAAGCCUGGGAAACUGGGUCUAAUACCGGAUAUGACCCUAUGGCGCAUGUUGUGGGGUGGAAAGCCUUGUGCGGCUAGGGAUGGGCCCGCGGCCUAUCAGCUUGUUGGUGGGGUGAUGGCCUACCAAGGCGACGACGGGUAGCCGGCCUGAGAGGGCGACCGGCCACACUGGGACUGAGAUACGGCCCAGACUCCUACGGGAGGCAGCAGUGGGGAAUCUUGCGCAAUGGGCGAAAGCCUGACGCAGCGACGCCGCGUGAGGGAUGACGGCCCUAGGGUUGUAAACCUCUUUCAGCCUUGACGAAGCGAAAGUGACGGUAGGGGCAGAAGAAGCACCGGCCAACUACGUGCCAGCA